CAGUCGCCACGGGAAUACGUAGGGUGCAAGCGUUAAUCGGAAUUACUGGGCGUAAAGCGUGCGCAGGCGGUUAUAUAAGACAGAUGUGAAAUCCCCGGGCUCAACCUGGGAACUGCAUUUGUGACUGUAUAGCUAGAGUACGGCAGAGGGGGAUGGAAUUCCGCGUGUAGCAGUGAAAUGCGUAGAUAUGCGGAGGAACACCGAUGGCGAAGGCAAUCCCCUGGGCCUGUACUGACGCUCAUGCACCAAAGCGUGGGGAGCAAACAGGAUUAGAUACCCCCGUAGUCCCUGUCUCUUAUAC
rnacentral:rRNA from 1 species